GCAGCGGAGGUUUGGGCCCCGUUGCAGCAGGGGGCGGGGGGUUCGGGAAAGAGUGGUAGGUGGACCGCCUCAGCCGGACCACAG
rnacentral:SRP_RNA from 1 species